UGAAUUCUUAGCUAAUAUUGCUGUAUCGGUGGCCUUGAUAUGUAAUUGGUGCUUUGUAGAGUAAUUUGCAAGUUGCAAAUUUAUAUGCUGGUACCGACAGUGUAGAGCUCAAAGGCCUGAAAUAAUUGCUGAAUUGAAUUAUUUCUUAAGGCAUUGUAUCUACAAGUUGCAAGUGUAUAUUCUUUUCUCAAAGAAGCCGUUCCUGGCGUUUUUAGAAUCCACCGGCUACUCUCAAGAAGAUGUGCUCCUUCAGAAGCCCAAAGCUGGGCUCCUGAAGCCUACUUUCACAAUUAUAUGUGAUAAAGAUUCAAAAUGCUUCCUUUGAUAAAGAUUCAAAAUACUUCCUUUUAUUGAUUCGUGGAACCCAUAGUAUCAAAGAUACACUAACAGCAGCUAGUGGUGUAGUGGUACCUUUCCUCUCUUUUAUUUUGCAUGAUGGUGGGAUAAGCAAUUUGGUUCUGGUUUUUGCAUAUUGUGGGAUGGUUGUUGCUGCUCGUUGGAUUGCUAAGCUCAACACUUCAUCCUUGCUUAAGGCUCUCAAUGACUAUCCUGACUACAAAGUUAAGGCUUCUAGGAUCACUUAGUGUACAAAGGACACCAAAUAUUCUUGUACAAAAGAGAACAAAUAUCUGCUAUAGAUUUGUGAGGUGCAUUUCAAAGGCCAAGGAUAUGGAGAAUUUAAUGACAUUAGAUCCAUUACUAUUAUGGUCGAUUAUAUUGUUCCAGCAGUUCUUCAACAACUUGGCAUGCUGAAAUACAGUUCAAAGCUUGCCAAAUUGAUUGUGGCUAAUAAUGAAAUAGAUUCAGGCAGUGAGGAGGAAGUUAAGCUAUGGACUUGCUCCAUAUAUGCUGUGGAGAGGAUGAAGGAGUUGAUCAGUAAAAAAUCAGGGAAGCAGGUGCUUAGUGUGGAGUUAGACCUUUGGCUUUGGUCUUUUGGCAUUCAAUUUCCAUCUCUGCAACACCACUGAACACUUUCAACAUAUUACUGAGCUCACCAUAUCCGAUGGUGUCCUUCUUAAUUUAUGCUUCUAACUGUAAGAUUAUAGGAACUAGCAUAGUAAGUUUUAGGGCGAAGUCAUUAGAAAGAUGUGUCUAUAAAUUCCUCGCAUCUAUUGUUCUGUUUGCAUGGUUGUAGCUUUUCUUAAUUUUGAGAAGUACUACUAAUAUUAGCCUUGAGUUGAUGAACCAAAAACUUAUUGUUUUAAAAAUUGAACAUUUGAUAUGUUGCUAUUACCUAUUUUGAGAUA